GGCGAUUUAGCUCAGUUGGUUAGAGCGUGUGCUUAACACUGGGACCCGGGACAACCCACGGUCCAGCGUUGCGCACAAGGUCGGCGGUUCGACCCCGUCAAACGUCA